AGCGAACGCUGGCGGCAGGCUUAACACAUGCAAGUCGAUCGCCCCGCAAGGGGAGUGGCAGACGGGUGAGUAACACGUGGGAACGUACCCUUUGGUUCGGAAUAACUUGGGGCAACUCAAGCUAAUACCGGAUAAGCCCUUAUGGGAAAGGUUUACUGCCGAAGGAUCGGCCCGCGUCUGAUUAGCGAGUUGGUGAGGUGAUGGCUCACCAAGGCGACGAUCAGUAGCUGGUCUGAGAGGAUGAUCAGCCACACUGGGACUGAGACACGGCCCAGACUCCUACGGGAGGCAGCAGUGGGGAAUAUUGGACAAUGGGGGCAACCCUGAUCCAGCCAUGCCGCGUGAGUGAUGAAGGCCUUAGGGUUGUAAAGCUCUUUUACCCGGGACGAUAAUGACUGUACCGGGAGAAUAAGCCCCGGCUAACUUCGUGCCAGCAGCCGCCGUAA
rnacentral:rRNA from 1 species